GUGCCAGCAGCCGCGGUAAUACAGAGGGUGCAAGCGUUAAUCGGAAUUACUGGGCGUAAAGCGCGCGUAGGUGGUUCGUUAAGUUGGAUGUGAAAUCCCCGGGCUCAACCUGGGAACUGCAUUCAAAACUGACGAGCUAGAGUAUGGUAGAGGGUGGUGGAAUUUCCUGUGUAGCGGUGAAAUGCGUAGAUAUAGGAAGGAACACCAGUGGCGAAGGCGACCACCUGGACUGAUACUGACACUGAGGUGCGAAAGCGUGGGGAGCAAACAGGAUUAGAUACCCGUGUAGUCC
rnacentral:rRNA from 1 species